UUCUUGAAUGGACAAUAAUGCGUUUUGUGUCCAUGUUUACAACAAAAGUUGCAUUUGCUUUGGUGUUGAACAUAUAAGAUGGGGCCUUUUAUGAAGGUGGUUGGAUUUUGGUGAGGACUUCUCACAAAUCCAAUUUCACUUCUUUUGGGAACGUGACCCUUGUUUGCAAGGAUCAUGUUCAAUGACUUACCAACCUCAAAUUUCU
rnacentral:lncRNA from 1 species